CAAAAAUAGUAUGGCACCAUUUCUAUUGUGCUUAUGCUGAUAUGAAACCUAUUUUUCUGUAGGUGAAACCCUUCCUGUAGAGGUGAUCCUUGGCACCAGUAAUGUGGAAGAGGAGCGAGAGGCACACCAACACCAGCACAUGAGUCUCUGUUUAAUAAUUGGGAUAUUAUAACAGUAAGUUAUAGCUCCAGAAGUCAGUCACCAGCAGCAGAUGUCACACAGUUAUAAAAUGGGAAACUUGAAGAAUAAGGUACUAGUGGUUUGGAUACAUGUGUGGGAAAUUUCACCUUUCACUUAAAAUGAAGGUACAGUUACAGUCCUUAAGAGUAUACUGGCAAAUGGUAACUCAAAGCUCUUUGUUUCUGUUACAGCUCCAGAAGUCAGCAGCAGCAGCAGCAGACGUCACACAGCCAUAAUGCGAGAAGCUUGAAGAAUAAUGUGUUAUGGCUCCGAUAGUCUUCCAGCAGCAGCAAAUGUUACACAGUCCUAUAGAGGCAAACUUGAAGUAUAAAGUAAUAGUGUUUUGCAUACAAUGGCAAACUUGACCUUUCGCUUAAAAUGGAGUAUCGGCUUUGAAAUUUGGUCACUGGAUACAACUAUUUUAUCUUUCAUGUUGAUAGCAGCAAUCAUCAGAUUGCAAUCCAGUUAAGUACCUGUGAGGCAUGAGAUGUCAAAAAUACUUGUGGGUUAUUGGUAGCCUGUGUCAAGGCAUGUGGCACCUCAAAGUUUGUAAGUACAGUAGCAUUUUGUUUUCUGCUUUACUUAAAAAUUGGUAGCUGUAGCACCCAUUCUGACAUUCAAUUAUUUUGAA